rnacentral:rRNA from 2 species
AGCAGCCGCGGUAAUUCCAGCUCCAAUAGCGUAUAUUAAAGUUGUUGCAGUUAAAAAGCUCGUAGUUGAAUUUCGAGACCGGUUUACUGGUCGUGCUUUUGUACGUACUGGUAUUAUUGGUUUCUCCUUUCUGACGAACUAUAAUGCCAUUAAUUUGGUGUUUUAGGGAAUCAGGACUGUUACUUUGAAAAAAUUAGAGUGUUUAAAGCAGGCUCACGCUUGAAUACAUUAGCAUGGAAUAACGGAAUAGGACGUUUGAUUCUAUUUUGUUGGUUUCUAGGAUCGACGUAAUGAUUAAUAGGGAUAGUUGGGGGCAUUAGUAUUCAAUUGUCAGAGGUGAAAUUCUUGGAUUUAUUGAAGACUAACUACUGCGAAAGCAUUUGCCAAGGAUGUUUUCAUUAAUCAAGAACGAAAGUUAGGGGAUCGAAGACGAUCAGAUACCGUCGUAGUCUUAACCAUAAACUAUGCCGACUAGGGAUCGGAUGAUGUUAAUUUUUAAUGACUCAUUCGGCGCCUUACG